rnacentral:rRNA from 1 species
UACGUAGGGGGCGAGCGUUGUCCGGAUUUAUUGGGCGUAAAGAGCGUGUAGGCGGCCAGGUAGGUCUGCUGUGAAAACUCGAGGCUCAACCUCGAGACGUCGGCGGAAACCAUCUGGCUAGAGUCCGGAAGAGGAGAGUGGAAUUCCUGGUGUAGCGGUGAAAUGCGCAGAUAUCAGGAGGAACACCCGUGGCGAAAGCGGCUCUCUGGGACGGUACUGACGCUGAGACGCGAAAGCGUGGGGAGCAAACAGG